rnacentral:misc_RNA from 1 species
GUCAGCAGUUCACACCCGUCGAGUUAAGCACCCCCUAUUUGCAGCUUUCCGCACUGUAGAUGCCAUCAAUUACUCAGAGAUCGCCACCAUACCAGUAGACCGUUGUGUCCUUGAUUUUGCAACAGAGGCAACUGAUUCUUUUGUUGGUUUGAUUACAAUGGAUGACCAAGAAGAGAUGUAUUCGUCUGCUAGGAUCUACGAGAUUGGCCGGCGGAGGCCAACUGACGAUGAUUCUGAUCCUGAUGAUGCUGAAACU